GACCCCCGGGUGUUCCUCUAUCAUUUAAGGAAGAUGGCCAAUUGUUUGUUGAUUCACCCACUCCUUCGAGGACUAAGCAUAAGCCAGUGAUGGACCUGCCAAUGCUGGACCAGGGGGCAGAGAUCUUUAAGACCCUCCACUACCUCAGUA